GCACAUACUGCUCUUCCUUGCUCUCUUCGAAAUCAUCCUGGUUGUCGUACUUUUGCAUGGAGUUAUUGUACUCGAACUUGGAGUUCUCGUUGUUGUUGUUGUUGCUGUAAUAACCUCUAGUAUUGUAGUUGUUUCUUGAGUCCUGCUGGUACUGGUUUGGGUUGUAGUUACUGUUCUCCCCCUUCAGGUCAUAGUAGUACUUCCCUUUUUCCAAGUACCUUGUGUCACUCAUGCCUUGCUUCUCAUCAUUGCUGUAGCUAUUGGCACCAUUGUAGUAGUAGUUGUUGUUCUGGUUCCCCAUGUUGGUGUAUCCACUUUCUUGAAGGCUUUUUUCACCGAAGUUUUGUUGCUGCUCCUGAUCAUAAGCAUUGUUGCUGUAGUAGUUGGUGUUUGUGUUGGUGGUUGUGUCAGUUGGAUAAUUGGUGUAGGUUUCUUGGUUUUGGGUUUGGGUCUUGUAUGGCUGGGAAUUAGUGGUAGUAGUGUAGGGUGCAUUAGCUAGUUUAGUGGUGGUGGGGAACUGGGUGGUUUCUUGACCAUAUAGACCAUAACCAUUUUGGUUGUCUGGGAUGAAGGCUGGAUCUUGUUCUUGCUUGCUCAACCCUUCUUCUUCUUCUUUGCCGGGGAGUGUUUUAUCUUGAGCGUUAUUGUUGCUGAUGGUGGUAGUGGAGGGGGUGGUGGUGGCGCCACUGACUUUGCUAAAGAACUGGCUCUCUCUGGCAUGAAUUUGCACAGAUAAAAUGGCUAGGAGGAAGAGAAAGGAAAUGAGUCUUGGAGAGGGAGCCAUGGCUAAAGAAAGGAUAGCGUUGCUGUGUAUAACUAGUCUAUAGCAAUGUGUGGAGGUGCACACUUUAUAUAGAAAGACCUUUCAAUCACUCCAGUUUUUUCUACUCUUUUAGGUGGAAAUUGGAGGGAAUUGGUGAUGAUGGUGGUCCCUGCUGGAGACCAAACUUUUAACAAAAGAACUCCUUUUUCCUCUUGUUUCUGUGAUUUAUAUCUUGAUAAUCAUACUUAUUUUUCUCUCUGUAAUUAAUUUCGUUAAUAUUUGAAUUUUGUUCCCUCUAAGAUCAGCUAGUUCCAGCAGUGACUCUAAAUAAAUCCCAUAAUUCAAA
rnacentral:lncRNA from 1 species